AGCUUUGUGCAGUGGCAGUAUUGUAGCCAAUGAGGUUUAUCCGAGGCGUGAUUAUUGCUAAUUGAAACAUAUUUAUAAUACUUAUUUCAAAAUACUUGUCUGCUAAUUCUAACAUCUGUAUCAUCUGUUGG
rnacentral:snRNA from 1 species